UGCAUACUCCCUCCGUUCCAUAAUUCUUGUCGAAAUAUUACAUGUAUCUAGACGCUUUUUUGGAAUGGAUACAUCUAUAUUUGAGCAAAUUUGAGACAAGAAUUAUGGAACGGAGGGAGUACUUG
rfam:Brachypodium distachyon strain Bd21 chromosome 3, whole genome shotgun sequence.